rnacentral:rRNA from 1 species
ACGCUCGACACCUACGGGAGGCAGCAGUCGGGAAUAUUGCGCAAUGGAGGAAACUCUGACGCAGUGACGCCGCGUAUAGGAAGAAGGUUUUCGGAUUGUAAACUAUUGUCGUUAGGAAGAGAAAGGACAGUACCUAAGGAGGAAGCUCCGGCUAACUACGUGCCACAGCCGCGGUAAUCUGAGCGGGCUGGCAAGGC